UUGAACGCUGGCGGCAGGCCUAACACAUGCAAGUCGAGCGGAUGAAGGGAGCUUGCUCCUGGAUUCAGCGGCGGACGGGUGAGUAAUGCCUAGGAAUCUGCCUGGUAGUGGGGGAUAACGUCCGGAAACGGGCGCUAAUACCGCAUACGUCCUGAGGGAGAAAGUGGGGGAUCUUCGGACCUCACGCUAUCAGAUGAGCCUAGGUCGGAUUAGCUAGUGGGUGGGGUAAAGGCCUACCAAGGCGACGAUCCGUAACUGGUCUGAGAGGAUGAUCAGUCACACUGGAAAUGAGAGAAGGUCCGGACUACUCCGGGAGGCAGCAGUGGGGAUUAUUGGAGAAUGGGCGAAAGCUUAAUCCAGCCAUGCGGCGGGAGUGAAGAAGGUCUUCGGAUUCUAAAGUAUUUUAAGUUGGGAAGAAGGACAGUAAGUUAACACCUUGCUGUUUUGAGGUUAGCAACAGAAUAAGCACCGGCUACCUUCGUG
rnacentral:rRNA from 1 species